GACGAACGCUGGCGGCGUGCUUAACACAUGCAAGUCGAACGGAAAGGCCCUGCUUUUGUGGGGUGCUCGAGUGGCGAACGGGUGAGUAACACGUGAGUAACCUGCCCUUGACUUUGGGAUAACUUCAGGAAACUGGGGCUAAUACCGGAUAGGAGCUCCUGCUGCAUGGUGGGGGUUGGAAAGUUUCGGCGGUUGGGGAUGGACUGGCGGCUUAUCAGCUUGUUGGUGGGGUAGUGGCUUACCAAGGCUUUGACGGGUAGCCGGCCUGAGAGGGUGACCGGCCACAUUGCGACUGAGAUACGGCCCAGACUCCUACGGGAGGCAGCAGUGGGGAAUAUGGCACAAUGGGGCGAAGCCUGAUGCAGCAACGCCGCGUGCGGGAUGACGGCCUUCGGGUUGUAAACCGCUUUGGCCUGUGGCGAAGCGUGAGUGACGGUAAUGGGUAAAGAAGCACCGGCUAACUACGUG
rnacentral:rRNA from 1 species